rnacentral:rRNA from 1 species
AGAGUUUGAUCCUGGCUCAGGACGAACGCUGGCGGCAUGCUUAACACAUGCAAGUCAAGGGGUAGCAAUACCACUGGCGCACGGGUGAGUAACACGUAGGUUAUCUGCCCCCAUCACAGACAUAACCCCGGGAAACCGGGGCUAAUAUCUGAUGAGGCCGAGAGGUCAAAGCUUUAUGCGGAUGGGGAUGAGCCUGCGGCUGAUUAGCUAGUUGGUGAGGUAAUGGCUCACCAAGGCGACGAUCAGUAGCUGGUCUGAGAGGACGAACAGCCACACUGGAACUGAGACACGGUCCAGACUCCUACGGGAGGCAGCAGUGAGGAAUAUUGGUCAAUGGGCGAGAGCCUGAACCAGCAAUGCCGCGUGUGGGAUGACAGGGCUUCGCCUUGUAAACCACUGUCGGACGGGACGAAAAGAGGUAAGAACCUCUGGGACGGUACCGUCAAAGGAAGGGUCGGCUAACUACGUGCCAGCAGCCGCGGUAAUACGUAGGACCCGAGCGUUGUCCGGAUUUACUGGGUAUAAAGGGUGCGUAGGCGGUCUUGUGCGUCAGAGGUGAAAUCUCCGGGCUUAACCCGGAGGGUGCCUUUGAUACGGCAGGACUUGAGUGCGGGAGAGGGUGAUGGAAUUCCUGGUGUAGCGGUGAAAUGCGUAGAUAUMRGRAGGAACACCRGUGGCGAAGGCGRYCACCUGGMCYGWWACUGACRCUGAGGYRCGAAAGCGUGGGGAKCAAACAGGAUUAGAUACCCUGGUAGUCC